GGUUAUAGCUCAGUGGUAGAGCACUUGCCUGGCAUGUGUGAGGCACUGGGUUCAAUUCCCAGCACCG
rnacentral:tRNA from 1 species